AUUGAACCCGAACCAGCCGUUGUCCAAAGUGGUGGCUGCAAUUGUGUCCAUCAUCGGCGAUAUAAACGUAAUGAAACCAAAGAUCUUAAUGCGAGUAUUUCCACCGUGGGACAACAACGUAAUGGUAAAAUUAGAUAAA